rnacentral:sRNA from 1 species
CAGCAGCCGUCGCCGUCCGCCGUGUACCCACAAAUAAAAAUGGAACGCCGUCUGUAGUCUUUUCAUUACUUUUCUACCUGUCACAUGUCGAAGUAAGACCGUGUAUUUCCUUCCUCGUUUUCUGUGGUCUUUUCCCUCUCAAGAUCCCACCAAGCACUAGGAGCAUUAUCCAUAGAGGCAUCCGCUCCACAAGUGUGGAGCAUAUGAUUUGGGACUUGGUAACCUUCCAAUUUUGCUUCCGCGGUGAAGAUGUACAAAGCGAGCCAUUUUAUGGCGAUAAUCCAAAAUGGGCCAAAAGAUUGCCAGGUGGCCAAGUGAAGAAGUAAACAAGCCAGAGUCUUCUUCCGGCUUGUCCUUCGCCGACCACUUUCGCUCUGAACAUCUAUCGUGUAAUUUAUAAUGCACUCACGUCUUCAUCAUAC